GGUAAAGAUAUAUCAUGAUUGAAAGAGUUUGAAUAAUAAGCUGGCUAUCCUUCACAAUGUAGUUGUGAAUUAGCAUGAACAAAAUUUCAAAGCUGAAUGAACAUUGAAAAUGAACAUAACAAUUAUAUCUGAACUGACUGGUAAUGAAGGUGAUCAGCCUUUCAUACCUGAUGAAUACAUGCAAUAUGUACAGAGUACAAUUCAUAAGCAUAUCUGUCUGAAACCACUCU
rnacentral:lncRNA from 1 species